ACGAACGCUGGCGGCGUGCCUAACACAUGCAAGUCGAGCGCUGAACCCUUCGGGGGGAUUAGCGGCGGACGGGUGAGUAACACGUGGGUAACCUGCCUCAAAGAGGGGGAUAGCCUCCCGAAAGGGAGAUUAAUACCGCAUAACAUCAAAUUAUCGCAUGGUAGUUUGAUCAAAGGAGUAAUCCGCUUUGAGAUGGACCCGCGGCGCAUUAGCUAGUUGGUGAGGUAACGGCUCACCAAGGCGACGAUGCGUAGCCGGCCUGAGAGGGUGAUCGGCCACAUUGGAACUGAGACACGGUCCAGACUCCUACGGGAGGCAGCAGUGGGGAAUAUUGCACAAUGGGCGAAAGCCUGAUGCAGCAACGCCGCGUGAGUGAUGAAGGCCUUCGGGUUGUAAAGCUCUGUCUUCUGGGACGAUAAUGACGGUACCAGAGGAGGAAGCCACGGCUAACUACGU
rnacentral:rRNA from 1 species